AUUGAACGCUGGCGGCAGGCCUAACACAUGCAAGUCGAGCGAGCGGCGGACGGGUGAGUAAUUUCUUGGAAACUGCCUGAUGGAGGGGGCUAACUACUGGAAACGGUAGCUAAUACCGCAUACCAUCAGAUGUGCCCAGAUGGGAUUAGCUAGUCGGUGGGGUAACGGCUCACCUAGGCGAUGAUCCCUAGCUGGUCUGAGAGGAUGACCAGCCACACUGGAACUGAGACACGGUCCAGACUCCUACGGGAGGCAGCAGUGGGGAAUAUUGCACAAUGGGCGAAAGCCUGAUGCAGCCAUGCCGCGUGUAUGAAGAAGGUCUUCGGGUUGUAAAGUACUGUCAGCGGGGAGGCGGUACCCGCAGAAGAAGCACCGGCUAACUCCGUGCCAGCAGCCGCGGUAAUAC
rnacentral:rRNA from 1 species